rnacentral:rRNA from 1 species
GGUCAAGUGAAGAAGCGCAUACGGUGGAUGCCUUGGCAGUCAGAGGCGAUGAAAGACGUGGUAGCCUGCGAAAAGCUUCGGGGAGUCGGCAAACAGACUUUGAUCCGGAGAUGUCUGAAUGGGGGAACCCAGCCAUCAUAAGAUGGUUAUCUUGUACUGAAUACAUAGGUGCAAGAGGCGAACCAGGGGAACUGAAACAUCUAAGUACCCUGAGGAAAAGAAAUCAACCGAGAUUCCCUUAGUAGUGGCGAGCGAACGGGGACUAGCCCUUAAGUGGCUUUGAGAUUAGCGGAACGCUCUGGAAAGUGCGGCCAUAGUGGGUGAUAGCCCUGUACGCGAAAAUCUCUUAGUCAUGAAAUCGAGUAGGACGGAGCACGAGAAACUUUGUCUGAAUAUGGGGGGACCAUCCUCCAAGGCUAAAUACUACUGACUGACCGAUAGUGAACUAGUACCGUGAGGGAAAGGCGAAAAGAACCCCGGAGAGGGGAGUGAAAUAGAUCCUGAAACCGUAUGCGUACAAGCAGUGGGAGCCCACUUUGUUGGGUGACUGCGUACCUUUUGUAUAAUGGGUCAGCGACUUAUUUUCAGUGGCGAGCUUAACCGAAUAGGGGAGGCGUAGCGAAAGCGAGUCUUAAUAGGGCGUCUAGUCGCUGGGAAUAGACCCGAAACCGGGCGAUCUAUCCAUGGGCAGGUUGAAGGUUGGGUAACACUAACUGGAGGACCGAACCGACUACCGUUGAAAAGUUAGCGGAUGACCUGUGGAUCGGAGUGAAAGGCUAAUCAAGCUCGGAGAUAGCUGGUUCUCCUCGAAAGCUAUUUAGGUAGCGCCUCAUGUAUCACUGUAGGGGGUAGAGCACUGUUUCGGCUAGGGGGUCAUCCCGACUUACCAAACCGAUGCAAACUCCGAAUACCUACAAGUGCCGAGCAUGGGAGACACACGGCGGGUGCUAACGUCCGUCGUGAAAAGGGAAACAACCCAGACCGUCAGCUAAGGUCCCAAAGUUAUGGUUAAGUGGGAAACGAUGUGGGAAGGCUUAGACAGCUAGGAGGUUGGCUUAGAAGCAGCCACCCUUUAAAGAAAGCGUAAUAGCUCACUAGUCGAGUCGGCCUGCGCGGAAGAUGUAACGGGGCUCAAACCAUACACCGAAGCUACGGGUAUCACGUAAGUGAUGCGGUAGAGGAGCGUUCUGUAAGCCUGUGAAGGUGAGUUGAGAAGCUUGCUGGAGGUAUCAGAAGUGCGAAUGCUGACAUGAGUAACGACAAUGGGUGUGAAAAACACCCACGCCGAAAGACCAAGGUUUCCUGCGCAACGUUAAUCGACGCAGGGUUAGUCGGUCCCUAAGGCGAGGCUGAAAAGCGUAGUCGAUGGAAAACAGGUUAAUAUUCCUGUACUUCUGGUUAUUGCGAUGGAGGGACGGAGAAGGCUAGGCCAGCUUGGCGUUGGUUGUCCAAGUUUAAGGUGGUAGGCUGAGAUCUUAGGUAAAUCCGGGAUCUUAAGGCCGAGAGCUGAUGACGAGCUAACUUUUAGUUAGCGAAGUGGUUGAUGCCAUGCUUCCAAGAAAAGCUUCUAAGCUUCAGGUAACCAGGAACCGUACCCCAAACCGACACAGGUGGUUGGGUAGAGAAUACCAAGGCGCUUGAGAGAACUCGGGUGAAGGAACUAGGCAAAAUGGCACCGUAACUUCGGGAGAAGGUGCGCCGGUGAGGGUGAAGGACUUGCUCCGUAAGCUCAUGCCGGUCGAAGAUACCAGGCCGCUGCGACUGUUUAUUAAAAACACAGCACUCUGCAAACACGAAAGUGGACGUAUAGGGUGUGACGCCUGCCCGGUGCCGGAAGGUUAAUUGAUGGGGUUAGCUAACGCGAAGCUCUUGAUCGAAGCCCCGGUAAACGGCGGCCGUAACUAUAACGGUCCUAAGGUAGCGAAAUUCCUUGUCGGGUAAGUUCCGACCUGCACGAAUGGCGUAACGAUGGCGGCGCUGUCUCCACCCGAGACUCAGUGAAAUUGAAAUCGCUGUGAAGAUGCAGUGUAUCCGCGGCUAGACGGAAAGACCCCGUGAACCUUUACUAUAGCUUUGCACUGGACUUUGAAUUUGCUUGUGUAGGAUAGGUGGGAGGCUUUGAAGCGUGGACGCCAGUUCGCGUGGAGCCAUCCUUGAAAUACCACCCUGGCAACUUUGAGGUUCUAACUCAGGUCCGUUAUCCGGAUCGAGGACAGUGUAUGGUGGGUAGUUUGACUGGGGCGGUCUCCUCCUAAAGAGUAACGGAGGAGUACGAAGGUGCGCUCAGACCGGUCGGAAAUCGGUCGUAGAGUAUAAAGGCAAAAGCGCGCUUGACUGCGAGACAGACACGUCGAGCAGGUACGAAAGUAGGUCUUAGUGAUCCGGUGGUUCUGUAUGGAAGGGCCAUCGCUCAACGGAUAAAAGGUACUCCGGGGAUAACAGGCUGAUACCGCCCAAGAGUUCAUAUCGACGGCGGUGUUUGGCACCUCGAUGUCGGCUCAUCACAUCCUGGGGCUGAAGCCGGUCCCAAGGGUAUGGCUGUUCGCCAUUUAAAGUGGUACGCGAGCUGGGUUUAGAACGUCGUGAGACAGUUCGGUCCCUAUCUGCCGUGGACGUUUGAGAUUUGAGAGGGGCUGCUCCUAGUACGAGAGGACCGGAGUGGACGAACCUCUGGUGUUCCGGUUGUCACGCCAGUGGCAUUGCCGGGUAGCUAUGUUCGGAAUAGAUAACCGCUGAAAGCAUCUAAGCGGGAAACUAGCCUCAAGAUGAGAUCUCACUGGAACCUUGAGUUCCCUGAAGGGCCGUCGAAGACUACGACGUUGAUAGGUUGGGUGUGUAAGCGCUGUGAGGCGUUGAGCUAACCAAUACUAAUUGCCCGUGAGGCUUGACCAU